ensembl:lncRNA
GGGGAAAUACGGGAGAGAUGGGCUCUAAUUUGUGUUCUCAUGGUGUCCAAGCAUCUCCAAAGCACUUGAUCACCACCACAGCAGGCCUUGAUGCCAUGUGUGAGUGUAAAUGGUUCCAAGGCUCCCUGGUGGUAAAAAUCCCAUUGCCAGAAUGACCACCAACUCGAAAUGAAACAGUACCCUGUUUUUAAAAGGUCCCAUUAAAAAAAAGCGUUUUUUUUUUUUAAAGGCACAUAAGGUAGCAAUUUCCUUCAAAUAUGGUGUAGCCUGAUAACUGUUGAAGUAACUGACACCAUGUCGCCGUAAAUGAAAGAUUUUUACAGUGUGUAUGAAGCAUUAGUUAGAUUUAAGAUAGUAAAUGUUGAGGGCUUUUGUUGUUUUUUUUAACAAGUUCUAAUUGUAUGCAGACAUUUGCGACCUCCACACUGUAUUACAUUCUUGUCAUCACUGUAAUUCUUUGCCUCUUUUGUUUUACAGUAACAGCCAGAGUAGUAGGGUCUGUGUACAGAGUGAUUACUUUCUUCAUUCCAAAGCAUGCACAAAUCUGUUUUAAGUUCAAGAGAGGAGGAACCCUUUAAUUUAAACCCUGAAAUGAAGUCAUUCAUUCCCUGUUCAACUGCACUGCGACCCAUAAGGUUAGGUAAACAAGUGCCCCUUGCAUUACUGUCAAAAAGACCCAGCCCCUUGCUUUGCUGUGAUGUAAACUCCCUCAAUCUUUUUACAGUGUGCAUGAGGGGAAACUGGCUGGAGAUGGAGGAAGAUAUUUCUGUUUCUUUUUUUUUUUUUGAUAAAGGAGGGAAGCAAAGUCAGUACCUGAGUCUGUUCUCAGGAAGGUGUCCUACAAGGAAAAACGUUGCCUUGUUCCAAAGCAGAAAACUGAGGAAGGGAGGACAGGCCACAAAGCGCUGAGCCCAGCAGGCCUGCUCAGAUCUGUUACCAGCUCCAGCUCCAGCACGGCCUGGAAUGUGAAGAAUCCUACUGGGCUGGGGUUCUAGUGCAGGGGUCCAAACCUCACAUUGCUGCUCAUACUCAUUUUUCCUUCUCUCUUAGUAUUGUAUUUGGAUAGGUGAUUGUAAUGUAGCAGGAAUGUAGAGUGAGAGUUCUGCAGAGAGCUGUGGACAAAGUUGAAGCUGUAGUCGCGAAACAUAAGGAAUCUGCUC